rfam:Alternaria alternata strain SRC1lrK2f unplaced genomic scaffold CC77scaffold_8, whole genome shotgun sequence.
GGGCGUGUGGCUCAGUGGUAGAGCGUCCGCUUUGCAUCUCUUUCGGUGCUAAUCUGCGGAAGGUCCGGGUUUCGAUCACCCGCCCGUCCA